rnacentral:rRNA from 1 species
GACGAACGCUGGCGGCGUGCCUAAUACAUGCAAGUUGAGCGCUGAAGGUUGGUACUUGUACCAACUGGAUGAGCAGCGAACGGGUGAGUAACGCGUGGGGAAUCUGCCUUUGAGCGGGGGACAACAUUUGGAAACGAAUGCUAAUACCGCAUAAAAACUUUAAACACAAGUUUUAAGUUUGAAAGAUGCAAUUGCAUCACUCAAAGAUGAUCCCGCGUUGUAUUAGCUAGUUGGUGAGGUAAAGGCUCACCAAGGCGAUGAUACAUAGCCGACCUGAGAGGGUGCUAGGCCACAUUGGGACUGAGACACGGCCCAAACUCCUACGGGAGGCAGCAGUAGGGAAUCUUCGGCAAUGGACGAAAGUCUGACCGAGCAACGCCGCGUGAGUGAAGAAGGGUUUCGGAUCGUAAAACUCUGUUGGUAGAGAAGAACGUUGGUGAGAGUGGAAAGCUCAUCAAGUGACGGUAACUACCCAGAAAGGGACGGCUAACUACGUG